GAUUUAUGGGCGGACUGCAUAAUAAUUAGAUUAUGGAAAUACACUUUACUAAGUUUGUGUUAUUAGGUCAGCUAUAUGGAUCUUAUGUUUGUCUCUAUGCAUGAUAAUGCAACUAGUAGUAUCAUAUCAUUGCAAUCGUUUUUUGUAGAGUACCACCUCUCUAUUCUAUUUUAUUUAGGUGCUUUACAGGUUUGCACUUGUUUGGAUGACUACCCAAUCAUCUGAAAUAAUGGGGACAGGAAAUAAUGUUGAGUGAAAUUAGGAAGGGAAACAGUAAUCAGACGGUGAUCGGUAAAAAGGUUGUUGAUAGCAAGGAGGAACUGGAAGCUGGUGCAGAAGAUGAAGAAGUGGAUAACGUUGGAGAUUCUGAAGGCGAUGAGUUUGAGCAGGAAACUGGUUGAUGCACUCCCCGUAGCUUCAAUUUUUCAGUCAUCGAAUUGUCUCCAUGAUAUUCGAAUUGACUACUGUUGUCCGUUGUACUAUGGUAAGCUUUAUUUUUCCUAGCUUGUAUCAAAAUAUUAACCGCCUGUCUACGCGACGAAAUUUGCCAAGGGGACAGUUACCAUUUUAAGGAACUCUCUCUUGUUUACCUCGAUAGAAAUAUCGCGGUGAUGAUGGGCGAGUAGCAACAUUCUUGAGGAUAGUUGUGUGGAUGAGGUGAAGACAAGAACCUUUUGAUUUUUUUACUUUCUUCUCUUUUUUGCACUCA